GACGAACGCUGGCGGCGUGCCUAACACAUGCAAGUCGAACGGAGAUACGAUUUCGGUUGUAUCUUAGUGGCGAACGGGUGAGUAACGCGUGAGCAACCUGACUCUUAGAGGGGGAUAACACUCGGAAACGGGUGCUAAUACCGCAUAAGACCACGACAUGGCAUCAUGACGAGGUCAAAGGAGCAAUCCGCUGAGAGAGGGGCUCGCGUCCCAUUAGAUAGAUGGCGGGGUAAUGGCCCACCAUGUCAGCGAUGGGUAGCCGAGCUGAGAGGCUGAUCGGCCACACUGGAACUGAGACACGGUCCAGACUCCUACGGGAGGCAGCAGUGGGGAAUAUUGGGCAAUGGGCGCAAGCCUGACCCAGCAACGCCGCGUGAGGGAAGAAGGCUUUCGGGUUGUAAACCUCUGUCCUUGGUGACGAAAAAAUGACGGUAGCCAAGGAGGAAGCCCCGGCUAACUACGUGCCAGCAGCCGCGGUAAAACGUCUA
rnacentral:rRNA from 1 species